CUUCGAGAUUUCACGGACUACCGGGAUUAUAUGGGCUUAAGCGUGAUAGUUCGACUAUGCAAAUGGUCACUAUUAGGCUUAAUCUCUUAUAAUUUGGUCGGUUCUGUUACAUCUAUUACCCACCUGAAAAAAAAGAAGAGAAAAAAGAUAGCCCAUGUUCUCCCAAAGCAAAGAUCAAAGAGGAGGAGAGAUAGCAAUAUGAGGAGCAAUGAGAACCAAGUUUUAUUAUUAUUUAUACAUUUUUAUCAUCACUAUCAUUUACUCCACCACACAUGCACAUCUUGAUUUAAUUAUAUGCUGAGUUCCUUUGGAUCCAUAGCUCGAUUAGACAACAUAUGUAUGAGCUGUUUUUCACUCCUAUGAGCUCCACUUAAAUAUUCCAUUAGCUAUAGGUAAGUGACAUUAUGGUAAGGAUCCACAAAUACCACAUAUAGAGAGACUUGAGAGAAUCAAUGCUGGGAACUCUGAGUUUUAUUUUGAAAACUUAUGAAAAACUCUGGAACAAAGGUGAAGUAUAGACAGGAGGGAUAGUGCUUGACUUAAUUAUUUUGUCUUU
rnacentral:lncRNA from 1 species